GAUGAACGCUAGCGGCAGGCCUAAUACAUGCAAGUCAAGGGGCCAGCAAUGGCACCGGCGGACGGGUGAGUAACGCGUACACAACGUACCUUUGAGCGGGGGAUAGCAUUGGGAAACUGGUGGUAAAACCCCAUGGAGUUGAGGGAUGGCAUUAUUUUCAACUAAAGGUUACACUCAAAGAUCGGUGUGCGUCCGAUUAGCUAGUUGGCGGGUAACGGCCCACCAAGGCGACGAUCGGUAGGGGGUGUGAGAGCAUGACCCCCCACAUGGUACGUGAGACACGGACCCAACUCCUACGGGAGGCUG
rnacentral:rRNA from 1 species